CCUACGGGAGGCUGCAGUGGGGAAUAUUGCACAAUGGGCGCAAGCCUGAUGCAGCCAUGCCGCGUGUGUGAAGAAGGCCUUCGGGUUGUAAAGCACUUUCAGCGGGGAGGAAGGCGUUAAGGUUAAUAACCUUAUCGAUUGACGUUACCCGCAGAAGAAGCACCGGCUAACUCCGUGCCAGCAGCCGCGGUAAUACGGAGGGUGCAAGCGUUAAUCGGAAUUACUGGGCGUAAAGCGCACGCAGGCGGUCUGUCAAGUCGGAUGUGAAAUCCCCGGGCUCAACCUGGGAACUGCAUUCGAAACUGGCAGGCUAGAGUCUUGUAGAGGGGGGUAGAAUUCCAGGUGUAGCGGUGAAAUGCGUAGAGAUCUGGAGGAAUACCGGUGGCGAAGGCGGCCCCCUGGACAAAGACUGACGCUCAGGUGCGAAAGCGUGGGGAGCAAACAGGAUUAGAUACCCGGGUAGUC
rnacentral:rRNA from 1 species